rnacentral:rRNA from 1 species
GACGAACGCUGGCGGCGUGCUUAACACAUGCAAGUCGAACGAAGAGCGAUGGAAGCUUGCUUCUAUCAAUCUUAGUGGCGAACGGGUGAGUAACGCGUAAUCAACCUGCCCUUCAGAGGGGGACAACAGUUGGAAACGACUGCUAAUGCCGCAUACGAUCUGACCUCGGCAUCGAGGAUAGAUUAAAGGUGGCCUCUAUUUAUAAGCUAUCACUGAAGGAGGGGAUUGCGUCUGAUUAGCUAGUUGGAGGGGUAACGGCCCACCAAGGCGAUGAUCAGUAGCCGGGCUGGGAGGAUGAACGGCCACAUUGGGACUGAGACACGGCCCAGACUCCUACGGGAGGCAGCAGUGGGGAAUCUUCCGCAAUGGACGAAAGUCUGACGGAGCAACGCCGCGUGAGUGAUGACGGCCUUCGGGUUGUAAAGCUCUGUUAAUCGGGACGAAAGGCCUUCUUGCGAAUAGUUAGAAGGAUUGACGGUACCGGAAUAGAAAGCCACGGCUAACUACGUG